rnacentral:tRNA from 1 species
CCUAUGACAUCCAAGGACUCUUUCCUGUUUGUCGAGUUACAAUUCGCCGCCUACUCUCGGCCAU